AUUGAACGCUGGCGGCAUGCCUUACACAUGCAAGUCGAACGGCAGCACGGACUUCGGUCUGGUGGCGAGUGGCGAACGGGUGAGUAAUACAUCGGAACGUGCCCGGACGUGGGGGAUAACUACUCGAAAGAGUGGCUAAUACCGCAUACGAUCCAAGGAUGAAAGCGGGGGAUCGCAAGACCUCGCGCGUUUGGAGCGGCCGAUGGCAGAUUAGGUAGUUGGUGAGGUAAAGGCUUACCAAGCCUGCGAUCUGUAGCUGGUCUGAGAGGAUGAUCAGCCACACUGGGACUGAGACACGGCCCAGACUCCUACGGGAGGCAGCAGUGGGGAAUUUUGGACAAUGGGCGAAAGCCUGAUCCAGCCAUUCCGCGUGCAGGAUGAAGGCCCUCGGGUUGUAAACUGCUUUUGUACGGAACGAAAGGACUCUUGCUAAUACCAGGAGUCCAUGACGGUACCGUAAGAAUAAGCACCGGCUAACUACGUGCC
rnacentral:rRNA from 1 species